AAUUAAAAAAUCUGUUAACGGGUUUUAACAGGUUCCAACGGAUAACCCGCAAACCGGCCGGGUUUAGCCCGCAAAACCUGUUAAGUUAAUGGAUUUUUAUCGGGUCGGCCCGUUAAGAACCCGCACGGUACCCGCACGUUGCCAGGCCUAACUUUUUGUCUCCCACUUCAUUUAUCAAUUUCCAACACUCAAACAUAACACAAUUUUCUCAGUCUUCUUCUUUCCCAGAAAUCGAAAGUCCAUGGCUCCACGCCAACCUCCGCGUCCCACUCAAAAGUAAAUCUGCUAUCCAAUUAAACUAUCGAAGCUCCCAGCUCCUCGCCUAAGCCAGAUCCACCGCCUCCAAGUCCUCCCCUGCUAAGUGAAGGAAAAUGCUUAAAGGUUGUAUCUUUGUGCAGGUUUGGCUUUGGAGUUUUAGAGAGAGAGUAGUGAGUGACCCAUUUGAUGGUUUGUCGAAUUGGAAUGAUAAAGAUGGAGAUAUUGACCCUUGCUCUUGGUUUGGGGUUGAAUGCGUAGAUGGAAAAAUUGUGGUCUUGUAAGUACUCUCUUUGUUUCUUCUUUCAUUUAAUAAUUUCAUUGGGGUUGAUUAAAAUUGUGUCUUGGUUGGAAGAUUCAAAUCAGCCCACCAUCAAAGUGAGAGCUCAGCAAGACAGUAAGCUUGUAUGUAUAAUUUAUCAUUGAUUUUGUUCUUCCUAAUGAGUGUUAUUGUGAGACCCAUAUGUGUUAAAAUUUAUGUCCAUGUGUUCAAAGUUGUUAUGGAAUACACUUUUGACCAUUAAUUAGCUUUGGUAACUCCAUUAGAAUAUUUAUAACUGAAAUGGAUUAAGGUUCAAAUAUUGCACACCAUGUGUUUGAUAGUAUGCCUCAAAGGCAACUACCAAGCUGAACUAGUGGGUUGCUCUAUUAUUUUCGAAAAACCUAUACUUCUUCUUUUAAUCUUAGUUUUUGGAACCUUAAAAUAGAUUCUUCAAUGAUCGUUUUAAACUUAGUUUCAUGCAAAAUGAAGUUGAAAUGAGAUUCUUAUGAUAUUUUGAAAUUAGCACAGUGUUUCAGGAUUUCUGCAGAAAUCAGCAUUUUCUAUCAAUUUGGAUCUCUGUUUGACCGUCCAUUAAUUUGAACUCCGAAUAACUUGAAAUUUUGCGAAAUUGUGGCUUUACAUAUCUAGUUUAAAUCUGGAGAGUUGUGCUUGAAAGAACUAAAAGGAUGAUUGUUGGUGAAUUUUUCUUUUUUGCUACCAGUUUUCUGAAAAUUUCUGAAACUUGCAGCAAUCUUGUUACAGAGCAAAUGAUAUUAGAAGCUACUACACUUUUGUCAGUCCUCAGUCUUUAACAUGUUAAAUUAUACAUGCAAAGCAUGCUUUAAAAGUUAAACUUUAGUCCAAGAGGCUUACUCAACCUUAUUGAAAAGGUUUUCAUGUUUUCUUCUGAUAUAUUUAUUUAGAAACACUGGAUUAUCCUGCUUUAUCUAAUGUUGCUUUUUAUCAUUGUGAGGAACCUUGCUAAUACUGAACACUCCUAUCAUGGGAGACUGGUGGGACCAAAAUCCCCAACUCGAAAUCUUCAUAGCUUAAAACUACCAAAGACAGAACACUAUGUUCCUACACUACUCUUCCACCUUCAGAUGUAGAUGUGAGGUUCUUGCUAAGAUAUGGAACGGAAUAUGAACAAGCUUUCGAAGCUAAUUGCAUUCGUGAAAGUCACUCAGUAGCCACAUGCUCCUUCAGAUAUUUCACUCUUACAGGUUGUUCUACCUGUUUUCAAAUUGUUUGUUCUGACAAGGAUAUUGAAAGCUUGGAUGAAGUGAAGAGAGGUUCAAGGAAGAGUAGGUUGUUCAGCCUUUAGUAAUUCAUAUUGUUCUCAAUUUUAUUCUUGUGUUUUAGUGUAUGGAUGAUUGAGAAAUACUACAUUUAUAGUACAUUUGAUGCUUUUUUUUUUU